rnacentral:rRNA from 1 species
CCUACGGGAGGCAGCAGUGAGGAAUAUUGGUCAAUGGGCGCGAGCCUGAACCAGCCAAGUAGCGUGAAGGAUGACUGCCCUACGGGUUGUAAACUGCUUGUAUAAAGGAAUAAAACGAGGCACGUGUGCCGUUUUGUAUGUACUUUAUGAAUAAGGAUCGGCUAACUCCGUGCCAGCAGCCGCGGUAAUACGGAGGAUCCGAGCGUUAUCCGGAUUUAGUGGGGUUAACGGGAGCGUAGAUGGGUUGUUAAGUCAGUUGUGAAAGUUUGCGGCUCAACCGUAAAAUUGCAAUUGAUACUGGCAGCCUUGAGUACAGUUGCGGUAGGCGGACUUCUUGUUGUAGCGGU